rnacentral:rRNA from 1 species
AGAAUCAACGCUGGCGGCGUGCCUAACACAUGCAAGUCGCACGAGAAAGGGGAGCAAUCCCUGAGUAAAGUGGCGCACGGGUGAGUAACACGUGAAUAAUCUACCUCCGAGUGGGGAAUAACUGAGAGAAAUCUUAGCUAAUACCGCAUAACACUUACGAGUCAAAGCAGCAAUGCGCUUGGAGAGGAGUUCGCGGCCGAUUAGUUAGUUGGCGGGGUAAUGGCCCACCAAGACGAUGAUCGGUACCCGGCCUGAGAGGGCGCACGGACACACUGGAACUGAAACACGGUCCAGACUCCUACGGGAGGCAGCAGUGGGGAAUUUUGCGCAAUGGGGGAAACCCUGACGCAGCAACGCCGCGUGGAGGAUGAAGCCCCUUGGGGUGUAAACUCCUUUCGAUCGGGAAGAUAAUGACGGUACCGAUAUAAGAAGCCCCGGCUAACUUCGCGCCAGCAGCCGC